UUGACCUCGGAUCAGGUAGGAAUACCCGCUGAACUUAAGCAUAUCAAUAAGCGGAGGAAAAGAAACCAACAGGGAUUGCCCUAGUAACGGCGAGUGAAGCGGCAACAGCUCAAAUUUGAAAUCUGGCCCUCGGGUCCGAAUUGUAAUUUGUAGAGGAUGUUUUUGGCGCGGUGCCUUCCGAGUUCCCUGGAACGGGACGCCUUAGAGGGUGAGAGCCCCGUACGGUUGGACAUCAAGCCUCUGUAAAGCUCCUUCGACGAGUCGAGUAGUUUGGGAAUGCUGCUCUAAAUGGGAGGUAAAUUUCUUCUAAAGCUAAAUACCGGCCAGAGACCGAUAGCGCACAAGUAGAGUGAUCGAAAGAUGAAAAGCACUUUGAAAAGAGGGUUAAAUAGCACGUGAAAUUGUUGAAAGGGAAGCGUUUACGACCAGACCUUCUGUAGGCGGAUCAUGUGGUGUUCUCACCGCUGCACUUCGCCUGCUGUAGGCCAGCAUCGGUUUCCGCCGGGGGAUAAAAACUUGGGGAAAGUAGCUCUCUUCGGGGAGUGUUAUAGCCCCUUGUAUAAUGCCCUGGUGGGGACCGAGGACCGCGCUUCGGCAAGGAUGCUGGCAUAAUGGUCGUCAACGACCCGUCUUGAAACACGGACCAAGGAGUCGAACAUUUGUGCAAGUGUUUGGGUGUUAAACCCUCACGCGUAAUGAAAGUGAACGGAGGUGAGAGCCCUUACGGGUGCAUCAUCGACCGAUCCUGAUGUCUUCGGAUGGAUUUGAGUAAGAGCAUAACUGUUCGGACCCGAAAGAUGGUGAACUAUGCGUGGGUAGGGUGAAGCCAGAGGAAACUCUGGUGGAGGCUCGCAGCGGUUCUGACGUGCAAAUCGAUCGUCAAACCUGCGCAUGGGGGCGAAAGACUAAUCGAACCAUCUAGUAGCUGGUUACCGCCGAAGUUUCCCUCAGGAUAGCAGUGUUGUCUUCAGUUUUAUGAGGUAAAGCGAAUGAUUAGGGACUCGGGGGCGCUAUUUAGCCUUCAUCCAUUCUCAAACUUUAAAUAUGUAAGAAGCCCUUGUUACUUAAUUGAACGUGGGCAUUCGAAUGUACCAACACUAGUGGGCCAUUUUUGGUAAGCAGAACUGGCGAUGCGGGAUGAACCGAACGCGGGGUUAAGGUGCCAGAGUAGACGCUCAUCAGACACCACAAAAGGUGUUAGUACAUCUAGACAGCAGGACGGUGGCCAUGGAAGUCGGAAUCCGCUAAGGACUGUGUAACAACUCACCUGCCGAAUGUACUAGCCCUGAAAAUGGAUGGCGCUCAAGCGUCUCACCCAUACCUCGCCCUCAGGGUAGAAACGAUGCCCUGAGGAGUAGGCGGCCGUGGAGGUCAGUGACGAAGCCUAGGGCGUGAGCCCGGGUAGAACGGCCUCUAGUGCAGAUCUUGGUGGUAGUAGCAAAUACUUCAAUGAGAACUUGAAGGACCGAAGUGGGGAAAGGUUCCAUGUGAACAGCGGUUGGACGUGGGUUAGCCGAUCCUAAGCCAUAGGGAAGUUCCGUUUCAAAGUGAGCACUUGUGCUCCGUGUGGCGAAAGGGAAGCCGGUCAAUAUUCCGGCGCUUGGAUUUGGGUUUUGCGCGGCAACGCAACUGAACGUGGAGACGACGGCGGGGGCCCUGGGCAGAGUUCUCUUUUCUUCUUAACGGUCUAUCACCCUGAAAUCGGUUUGUCCGGAGCUAGGGUUUAACGGCCGGAAGAGCCCGACACCUCUGUCGGGUCUGGUGUGCCCCCGACGUCCCUUGAAAAUCCACGGGAGGGAAUAAUUCUCAAGCCAAGUCGUACUCAUAACCGCAGCAGG
rnacentral:rRNA from 1 species